GAGUUUGAUCCUGGCUCAGAACGAACGCUGGCGGCGUGGAUAAGACAUGCAAGUCGAACGAUUAUUACCAGGCAGCAAUAUUUGGUAGUGAGAGUGGCGCAAGGGUGCGUAACACGUGGGUAAUUUGCCGUGAAGUCUGGAAUAACUUGCUGAAAGGCGAGCUAAUACCGGAUGUGAUUUUUGGAAGGCAUCUUCUGAAACUCAAAGUCGGGGACCGUAAGGCCUGACGCUUCUCGAUAAGCCCGCGGCCUAUCAGCUAGUUGGUGAGGUAACGGCUCACCAAGGCUAAGACGGGUAGCUGGUCUGAGAGGACGACCAGCCUCACUGGAACUGAGACACGGUCCAGACACCUACGGGUGGCAGCAGUCGAGAAUUUUUCUCAAUGGGCGAAAGCCUGAAGGAGCGACGCCGCGUGGGGGAUGAAUGGCUUCGGCCCGUAAACCCCUGUCAUUUGCGAUCAAACCUUACGUUUUAAUACAGCGUAAGCUGAUAGUAGCGGAAGAGGAAGGGACGGCUAACUCUGUGCCAGCAGCCGCGGUAAUACAGAGGUCCCAAGCGUUGUUCGGAUUCACUGGGCGUAAAGGGUGCGUAGGCGGUCGGGUAAGUCUGACGUGAAAUCUUCAAGCUUAACUUGGAAACUGCGUCGGAUACUAUUCGGCUAGAGGAAUGGAGGGGAGACUGGAAUACUUGGUGUAGCAGUGAAAUGCGUAGAUAUCAAGUGGAACACCAGUGGCGAAGGCGAGUCUCUGGACAUUUCCUGACGCUGAGGCACGAAAGCCAGGGGAGCAAACGGGAUUAGAUACCCCGGUAGUCCUGGCCCUAAACGGUGCACGUUUGCUGUAAGAGGAAUCGACCCCUUUUGUGGCGAAGCUAACGCGUUAAACGUGCCGCCUGGGAAGUACGGCCGCAAGGUUAAAACUCAAAGAAAUUGACGGGGGCCUGCACAAGCGGUGGAGUAUGUGGCUUAAUUCGAUGCAACGCGAAGAACCUCACCUGGCCUUGACAUGCAAGUAGUAGAACCCUGAAAGGGGGACGAGGUAGCAAUACCAGCUUGCACAGGUGCUGCAUGGCUGUCGUCAGCUCGUGUCGUGAGAUGUUGGGUUAAGUCCCGCAACGAGCGCAACCCCUGUCCUUAGUUGAAUGAUCUAGGGAGACUGCCGGGCGAAACCCGGAGGAAGGUGGGGAUGACGUCAAGUCAGCAUGCCCUUUAUGUCCAGGGCUAGAAACACGCUACAAUGGCCGGUACAACGGGUUCCGACACGGCGACGUGAAGGCAAUCCCUUAAAGCCGGUCUCAGUUCGGAUUGUAGGCUGCAACCCGCCUGCAUGAAGCUGGAGUUGCUAGUAACCGCAGGUCAGCACACUGCGGUGAAUACGUUCCCGGGCCUUGCACACAC
rnacentral:rRNA from 1 species